UGAUGACAAUGAUGGUCAUGAUGAUGGUAGUAGUGAUGAUGAUAGUGGUGAUUUAAUCACCACUAUCAUCAUCACUACUACCAUCAUCAUGACCAUCAUUA
rnacentral:pre_miRNA from 1 species